rnacentral:misc_RNA from 1 species
GAUGAAGAACGUAGCGAAAUGCGAUACGUAAUGUGAAUUGCAGAAUUCAGUGAAUCAUCGAAUCUUUGAACGCACAUUGCACUCUCUGGUAUUCCGGAGAGAAUGCUUGUUUGAGUAUCAGUAAACACCUCAAAUCUCUUGUUUCUUGUGAAUAAGAGAAUUGGACUUGAGCAAUCCCAACUCUUGCAAAAGAGGCGGGUUGCUUGAAAUGCAGGUGCAGCUGGACAUUCUUCUGAGCUAAAAGCAUAUUUAUUUAGUCCCGUAAAACGGAUUAUUACUUUUGCUGCAGCUAACAUAAAGGUUGAAUGGCCAAUAUGGCUGACUGAUGCAGGAUUAACAGAGAAUUUAUUCUUUGUAAACUCGAUCUCAAAUCAAGUAAGACUACCCGCUGAACUUAAGCAUAUCAAUAAGCGGAGGA